GUCAGUAAACCGACUUUACAGACAACCGAUUUUUUCAAUAAAAUUAAGGUUCUGUAUAAGUAUGUAUAAUCCGUAAAUUUGAUACGAAUUCCAGUUAUUAAUUCUCCUUACCCUUACGUUAACUUCGUCAAUACACGGGCCUGUGCUAAAUAUCUGUACCUACGGGAUGGAAAUUUUUGGAGAGAAGAGGUAACAAAUCGAAAAUCAUUUUCGUCGCUAUUCCGCGACGUCGCAACGCCUAUCGUCGAGAGCGUCGCGCAGUUGAGUUCAGUUAUUUCGAAAGCGCUAACUAAUGCGACAACGUGUUCACAUAUAGUUUGUUAUUAAAGUUGAGCUUGUAAGUUGUUUACAAUGUUAAACAACCGUGUUACAAAAAUAUCUAAAGUAUAAGUGUCUAUUGUAAUCGAAAUAAAAACGGUUCUGUAAAAAGAAACUAUUUUUUUGAGUGGGCGUGUUAAACAGUAAAUAAAAUCAUGGCAGUGGAAAUACUUGAUGUUGACCAUUAUGCCAUUAGCGCAAUAGUGACUGUCAGUAUGCAGCUAAUAUUUUUUUCCAUAGCUGCCAGCUUUCAGUUCGAUAAAUUGACUGAUUUUGCGGGUGGGAUCAACUUUAUUAUAAUUGCCUUGUUGACGUUUUUUCUUGGGCAAGGAAACCGA